rnacentral:rRNA from 1 species
GUCUAUGGCCAUGCCACUCUGAAUGUUCCCGAUCUCAUUUGAUCUUCGAAGCUAAGCAGAUUUGGGCCUGGUUAGUACCUGGAUGGGAAACCACCUAGGAAUACCAGGUGCUGUAGGAA